rnacentral:lncRNA from 1 species
UCUUCAAGCAAAACAACGCGACACUGCUGUACCCUUGUGCAUGCAAAUGAUUUAUGGCUUAGAACAGCGUUCUGCUUCGGGGAUGACAAGUCAAUGCGAAUGAAAAACGAAAUAAAAUGGUAAAUCUGUACUGACCACUUGUGUGUUAUUGCUCAUUUUGAUGCACACCACUCGUGUAUUGCUCCUACCCCACUGUGUAGACGAAACGAAAGUCUUGGGUGAGGUUUAUUUUCUUGUUUAUUCUGCUCUUAAACCUGCAGUGAAGUUAGCGACGCUGCUACCAAAAUGCGGAUUCUAUUGUCCAUCGCUGUCGUGAUCCUAUCAAGUAUUCUCCACCAUCUAACAAGUGGGAAUACUCAAGAAUGCAACGUGGACCUUAACAUCGAUGACGUACGAAACAUGAUGAUUCCUUGCAACCAGACCUGCGAAGGGGCAGGAUAUUUGCCAAAUGGAACGGUUUGUUAUAUUAUUUGUCAAAACUGGGGCAGCCAAGCAAGCAAAGUCCCGGCGGCAACAUGCGAACUGUGUGGGACAUGCAGCGGUGGCCAAUGUGUCAAGAAACCGGAGUGCGAAGGCUACGGACGCUGAUGCAGCAUCAUGGUAUUAAUUCCUCAGGAUCGGCGGGUGCCUCUCUCCCUCAGCGCACAUUUGUUGCGGCAAUGUGGUUGUAUGUGUCACCUUUCUAAUAAAUGUGCACAUGUUUA